GCUGAUUGUAUUUACCUUUGGUUUCUUGUUUUGUAUUUAAAUAAUAAAAUAAGUAUAAAUAUCGGAUCGGUACGGGUUUUCGUCGCGUUAGGAAUUUUGUUUCCAUUAACCAAACCAAACAUUUCGGUACGGAUCGGAUCGGAAUAAUUAAAUUUAAAUUAAAAAAUAAUUAUUUAACCAAACCAAACCAAAUUGUCGGUACGGUACGGUCGAUAUGCGGAUAAUUC
rnacentral:lncRNA from 1 species